ACGCACGCUGGCGGCGUGCUUCACACAUGCAAGUCGAACGGUGAAGCGCCUUCCUUUUUGGUGGGUGUGGAUGAGUGGCGAACGGGUGAGUAACACGUGAGUAACCUGCCCCCUUCUUCUGGAUAACCGCAUGAAAGUGUGGCUAAUACGGGAUAUUCUGGGUCUGUCGCAUGAUGGGUCUGGGAAAGAUAUUGUUUCGGUGGGGGAUGGGCUCGCGGCCUAUCAGCUUGUUGGUGGGGUGAUGGCCUACCAAGGCGGUGACGGGUAGCCGGCCUGAGAGGGUGGACGGUCACACUGGGACUGAGACACGGCACAGACUCCUAAGGGAGGCAGCAGUGGGGAAUAUUGCACAAUGGGCGCAAGCCUGAUGCAGCGACGCCGCGUGAGGGAUGGAGGCCUUCGGGUUGUGAACCUCUUUCGCCAGUGAAGCAGGCCUGCCUCGUUUGUGGGUGGGUUGACGGUAGCUGGAUAAGAAGCGCCGGCUAACUACGUG
rnacentral:rRNA from 1 species